CCUGGCAGCAGCGGCCAAGCUGGCAGCGGCACCGCCAAUACCGAGGGCGGGAGGGCGCCCGCAACCGCGAGGCCUCCAAGGGCCGCGGGCGGAACGGCGAUGGCGCCGAGCCCCUUCCCCCGAGAGGGCAAGCGGAGCAGCAUCCGCGGGCGUCGCCGCUAGAGCGCCUCGGCCACGGCCACGGCCACGGCCACGGCCACGUCCAGCAGCGGCAGCCGCACGGAGCCCGACUCCAAGGUGCGUGUUGGCCGCUCGCGCUUGUGGGAAGGAGCCGCCGUCCGCCUACCCAGAGCCGCCACAGGCCCUCGCGACAAGGUGGAGCAGAGCUCAGUGCUGUAGACUGCGCUCCCUCAGUCCCUGGGCCGGGCCUUCAUGCCAGCCUGGGCUCGCACAGCGCCCUGCGGGCCCUCUGAGCCGCCGCUCACCCACCCCCUACAGCCAGGUGCUCAGUUGGUCUGUGAAAUCCCGAAGCAGAAGUCCAUACUCCUCCAGGCAUUCAAGGUCUCUCAGCAGGUACAGAUUUUCUAGAUCCCAGAGUCGUCAUUCUAGCAUUUCUCCUAGCACACUGACUCUGAAGAGUAGCCUGGCCGUCCAGUUGAACAAGAAUGAAAAAGCAAGAGCUGCAGAGACAGCUGCAGAAGCUGCAGAACCCUCUAGCACGUCUACACCAACCAAGGGGACACAGAAACUGGAGCCAGCACAUCGCAAACCAACCAUGUGAAGGACGUGAAGAAAUAAACUGAGCGUGCCCCUUCUCCCUCAAGUAGUGGAACUUUCAAUACAAAAUGACAAGGCGAAAACAAAGCCACCUCUUCAAGUUACAAAGGUAGACAAUAAUUUGAUUGUAGAUAAAGCCACCCAGAUAACAGCUGUCGUUGGGAAGGAGAGGAAAUCUGCUGCUACAAAGGGUGAACCUUUCAGUAUCUCUCAAAAGAGAAAACCAAACCACUGAAACCAAGCGUGGGAGCCAGGGAGAAGCAGCAACAUGUGACUUUAGUGACCUGUGUGCUACCACCCUUACCUUUGUCUCCCAUGCUACCUGAAUAUAAAGAGGGGGAUAGUUUAAGAGAAAAUAUUUCAGUAAAAGCGGUUUAAAAAGAAGUAGAAAAGAAACAGAUGUCUUCUUGCUGAUUUAGCCCUGCCCUCUCACCUGCCUCCCAAGCCGGAGGAGAGGAUCUUUCCAAGAGUCCAGAGGAAAAGAAAACAGCAGCACAGUUGCAUAGUAUAUGAAGGCCUAAAGUAUGUCGGCCUCGCUAUGGUGAAUUAAAAGAAAAAGAUAUUGACUGAGGAAAAGGCUGUGUGGACAAAUUUUAUAUCGUCAGAAUUAUUAGAAAAGGUCCUUAUGGAUAAGUUUACAAGGUUGGGGAGAAGACAUUGGAGACACGGUUGCCUUAAAAAAAAAAAAGUAAGGUCUGGAUAAUAAAAAGGAAGGCAUUCCAAUUUUAGCAAUUUGAGAAAUUAAAAUUCUCCCAUAGGUUACCCAUCAGAGUAUUAUCAAUAAGAACGAAAUAGUGACUGAUAAAGAAGAUGCUUUGAAUUUUAAAGACAGAGGUACAUUUUAUCUGGUGCACAUAUCUUCUUUCAUGAGGUGUUUGAACACAACUUUUGCUCAUUCUAAUUAGGUUGUUAGAGUUUUCAUUAUUGAGUUGUAACAGUUCUAAUGCCCGUGAGUCUGCAUCUGUGGUACUGGAGAUGGAACCCAGGGCCUUUGCGUUAAUCUGUAUCCCCAGCCCUUUUUAUUUUUUAUUUUUGAGAUAGGGUCUCACUAAUUUGGUAAGUGGCCACGUCUGGGUACUUCUGGGUUCUGUCUUGUGAUCCUUCCGCUAGGGACCUGAAAUUUCAAUUCUGCAGACUAGAAUUGCCCUUUCUUUUCCCAUCCUCAAGGGAGCAGUGUGAGGGGGGCCUUUGGCGACCAUCUUGGCAGUUGGCGACAGUUGGUGUGGGCGGGGCCGCUGUGGUGAGCGGGACCUUUGCGGUGGGCGGGACCGCGGCCUCGCGGGCCUCGCCAUGGUAACCACAGCUCUGUCACUGCCCCGCCUCACAGGCUUCCAGACUGUCCUCGCCUUAGGUGAAGGUGUUUGACCCCCGUCCUCGGAAGUAGCCUGACAGCCUCUUAGCUGUCUCUCAGCCGCCGCCACGUUCAGCCGCCUCUCAGCAGCCGCCUUUGCCAACGCAACCAAGCAAGUGGAGGAGGCCCAAUACCAAUACUUCAGAAGAUUCUUUUAACCAGUAUGAAGAACAAGUAAGCAGGGCCAGGGAUUUAGCUCACUGCUUCCACCACCUGUCUCACAAGCACAAGGUCCGGAGUUCGAUCUUGGGUACCAAGAAAACAAACAAAACAAAACAAAACAAAACAAAACAGGUAAGCAAAUGAAAGAAUAAAUAUACUAGUUUCUUAAAUGCCA
rnacentral:lncRNA from 1 species